UUCCCAUCAAAAUCCCAAAUGAGGAAAGACCUUUAUUGAUUGGUAAGUAAAAUGUACAUGGUGACCUUUUGAAUCUGCAUGACUACAUCAGCCGCUUUGUUUAAUACAAACUCUACAUACCCUGCAUUGACACACAAUUCUCUGCCUAAAUGGACGCCUAAAUGAAAAAAUUAGGGGAAAAGGCAAGCCAGAAACUCAAAGCUUUUACUAAUCGGUACUUCUCACAAUGCAUCAACAUAAUUUUCUAGUCCUAACCUAAAAAACUUUUAGUUGAGAUGAUAAGAUAGGUAGAAAAGAUCUAAAGAAUAACAAAUUAUUGUAAGACACAUGAUUUCUGCACAACUCUAUUCAGAUUCUCCAAGAUCCCCUCCCAGCCUUCAAGAGUGAAGCAUAUAAUAAUUCAUUCCAAGUAUCUGGCACUCCAGGCAAGCACCAAUGACUGCAAUCUUGAGAUCGCUCAGCAGCAAUUUGUUCUUCUGCUGUCUUGUAUUGCAUUCUGUAGAUGGAAGGGUGCCCAUCUUUUCUGUAAUCUGUCAGCCUGCUUAUGUUUAAAUAUAUAACUGGACUUUUCAUAUCUAGAAGCACGUGCUCAAAAGCUCUCAUUUUGGAAGGGUACUUUGCUAAGUAAACUGCAUUAAAUAUUGGCUCUGUUUCUUUGUGACACUGCCCUCCUGAAUUCCACUGUCCACCUCUGUGACCACAUCAAACACAUGAGAAACAUUUUUCUCCAUCACAUAUGACAUGGGCAAAGAAUAAGAGAAGAAAUUCCCCCUUUGGGUUCUCAUGAAGUAAACUCUAAUUCUUGCCAAGAAGCAGCUGCAAGCUCCCAUAGUUAUUCCUCUUACCAUUCAUAUAGAUUAAAACCAAAGAGAAAUUACAAUAUCAGUUUUGAGAUAGAAUUCACUUUGCCAAGGAGACCUAAAAAUGCUAAACUUCAUGAUAGACAACUUGUAAAAUCUAUUUCAUUUGAAAAGUACAAGUUUAUGGACCAAGUACUUCAGAUAGAAGUAGAUGAACGUUCACAAUUAGAAGGAAAGUACGAAUAUGAAACUAUAUUAACAAAAUAAAAGGAAAAAAUAACAAACAAGGUAUUCAAUCACAAUCACAAGCAAAGCAGAGUGAGAAAGCAAUCCCACACCUGAAAUGGGUAACUGAGUAUCCUCUGAAAAAAACAAGGGUUUGAUUGCUGUCUAUGUUCUUGUCAACCCAUCUGGCCCAAGUCAGAAGUGCUCUCCUAUAUGCUUCCAAGACCUUGAGCCUUGGGUGUACAUAGUUACCUUCUUGAUAAUAGUCUUCUCUAUUAAAGGAUAACAUAUAUUAAGAAAUUGCAAUGAGGUUAAUUCCUUGAUUGAAAAUGCAAUUUGUUACAUAUAAAAACAUGAACAGUAAUUUGUAACACAGCACAGGAAAUGUCAAGGUAAAGAUAGCAUGAAACUCUGAGAUCAUGACACUACGAAUUUAUGGUUCUUGAGAAUGUGUGACCUACACAAACACUAAGCCAUCGAAUUUUAACAAAACAAAACAAAACAAAAUGGCACUCACCCUCUAGAAGUUUUCUCAUGGGUCCACCAAUGACCUGUAUUGAAAACUAUGAUGUCAGCAUCUUGAUACAUUUUAGUUGCAUGGUCCAUCAAGUCCAACCUCAAGGUCUCAAAUGUUCCAUUUUUAUUAUUGAAGGAUGAUUCCCUAACAAGAAAUGGAGAACCAACAAAAUCCACCGUACAGUUAUAGUCCUGCAGAGACAGCAAAAUAUGGCCUAUUAGAGUAAUGGAAAUUAAAUAAACAUUUUAUUGGAAGAAACUAAGGAAACGUGGUAACUUUCCUCAAAUCUAAAAGCAUAGAAGCCUUUCUUUUUGAAUUCUCUCCUUCCAGAGAUCUCAUAGACUCUUUUCUUGUUUCUGAUGCUAUGGCGAAGGAUGCAUACAAGGGACUCCCACAUGUUCCGAUUCAGUGAAUCCCCAACAAAAACCAACUUCUGUCCUCUUAACCUCUCCAGAAAAUCAGUUGCAUUCAAACUAGAUGGCAACGGUAAUCAUUAAACAGAGAAAGAAAAACCUUCGUAUAUUUUUACUACAUGUUUAAAAUGCUGAACAUUCCAUGCAAAGAUUCACACCUGUAUUCGAAAAGUUGACCAUAAUACUCCAUGAAUCUUUACACGAUAACAACUUGGUCUUUAAUGAAUAAGUCAAUUCAGAAGUGUCUAAGAAUAAUUAUAUAUUGCUUAUUUGAUUAAAAUAUGCUUGCAAUCAUGUAUAAACCACAUGCAUUAAGUCCAAAUGAGUCAAACAUAUAAUCUUUAACUUGAAACUUGAAGAUUAAGUGACUAUUCCAUCCAGCAUUAAAUCUUCCCACAGGGCAGUAGCUGAACAUAGGUUAUGAUUACAAAAUAUCAUUAGUUCCAUCUUUUUGCUAUCAACCAUAGUUUAAGCAUCCUAAGCAACUUUAGAUACCUACAGAACUUGGCGUGUGAUGAUAAUUAGUCCAAGUGCACCAGUCAACACACCCAACAAAAACAAUAGCCUUUUAAAGUCAAACGUUCGAAGUUUGUAUGACCAACUUGAAAUGAAUAGUCUUUUUAUUUCAUUUUAUUAUCAUUCUUUGCAGAGAACCAUUCAGAAUUGAAUCUAUUUUUCCUUCCAUUGAAAAUGUAAAACAGCUAAUAAUAAUAAUAAUAAUAGCAGGUAAGUUUGCUGCAUGCGUUAGUGGGAGAGUCUUUCUCUCUCUAGUUUUUAGAAAGAGAAUUUUCUCUGAAUUUUGUUCGCAUUUAAGAGCUUGGCUUCUUUGUCUGUCAUUAGUAUGUGGCUUCUCUGUCCCUUUGGAGCAAGGGGAGCUACUCUUCUCUACUUGGAUUGUGGAUUUAACCUUCUUCUCACUGGGGAUAGGGAUUGUACAUAAUUUUUGAGUUUCUAUUUUGAGUUGCAGGGAGAGAGUUUUUCAUGAGUGAUCUGUUUCUAUUUUUUUGCACUGGUUUGUUUUGUUUCUAUUUCUAGUCUUGCAAGUUUACAGCUCCAGUGAUGCAAGGUGUAAGGAGAGGCUGUCGUGGUUGCUCACGGGCAAGCUAGAUGACUGGCAUUGGAAGGCACGAUUGGGACGCUAAAAAACACCAUUGCAGCUUGUCCUCUGCUCUUAUCGAUUUUGUUGUAUUGCAUCCAAUUGAGCGCCUGUUGUUUCGAUUCUGGUUUAUCUUCCUAGAGGCUAUCGGGAAGUGACGGGAAAGAGAACAUUCUUUGAGCAUGAACAGGCACAAAUAACUUUGAUGCCCACUAUUUUGCUUUGAAGAGACUUAUCCGAUGCUUCUCUGUGUGGUUUAAGUCUGUAUUUAUGGAUGAAGGGUUGGCUCGGUGAUGGUAGUGGCAUUAAGAGGUUUGAUACAAAUGAUAGCUAGAUUAUGAUUCUAUUUGGGUCGAACACCCAUUUCUUGCCUUAGGGUUAAUUGACUAAGUUCUGGCUUUCCUUAUGGGCUUUAAGCAUUUGGGUCAGCCACUAAGAUGGCUUCUUGUAAUUGGCCCAUGGACAUUAUACAAAAUAUUCUAUAUAAAUGAACAUGAAAGAAAUAAAAAGAUAUGUUUG
rnacentral:misc_RNA from 1 species